rnacentral:rRNA from 1 species
GGUGAACGCUGGCGGCGUGCCUAAUACAUGCAAGUCGAGCGAACGGACGAGAAGCUUGCUUCUCUGAUGUUAGCGGCGGACGGGUGAGUAACACGUGGAUAACCUACCUAUAAGACUGGGAUAACUUCGGGAAACCGGAGCUAAUACCGGAUAAUAUUUUGAACCGCAUGGUUCAAUAGUGAAAGACGGUCUUGCUGUCACUUAUAGAUGGAUCCGCGCUGCAUUAGCUAGUUGGUAAGGUAACGGCUUACCAAGGCAACGAUGCAUAGCCGACCUGAGAGGGUGAUCGGCCACACUGGAACUGAGACACGGUCCAGACUCCUACGGGAGGCAGCAGUAGGGAAUCUUCCGCAAUGGGCGAAAGCCUGACGGAGCAACGCCGCGUGAGUGAUGAAGGCCUUCGGAUCGUAAAACUCUGUUAUUAGGGAAGAACAUAUGUGUAAGUAACUGUGCACAUCUUGACGGUACCUAAUCAGAAAGCCACGGCUAACUACGUG